rnacentral:misc_RNA from 1 species
UGAGUCUUCGUAAGGUGCACUGUAGUUGUGUGGUAGUAUAUAGCAGCCUAGGUUUCUUCUUUGUACCUGUAGCCCAACGUCCACGCUUUUUUCUUCUUCUUCUUCUCGUUCCUCAGAGAUCUCCCCCACCACGUUCCAGAAAGCGAAACGUUCCAUUCUCUUUCCUUCGCUAUAAUAUUCUCCUUCUCGCCACUCACCACUCUCCACAGUUUGUCAGUCAGUUCUGUAGGCAGAGAACCUAGUGAAGGAGUGUCGGAGGAGUGUUUAGCAUUUCCGUGUUAAAAUACAGUUAGACACGGCUGUAGGCACAAACUUGUAAAUGUCUGAUAAUUUGGAAUAACAUCAAAAUAACUACAAUGGGUUCUUGGAUACAUUUGGUUAGCCUGGCCCUCGUCAUGGUGGUGUUGGUUGAAGCCGGGGACAUGAUGAGAAAAUCUAUAGUAUUCGAUAAGAAGACUCCAGGUGUAUUCUAUUGCCCUCAAAGAAAACCUACAGGUUUUGAUAAGAUGAUAGUACACGCUCGGCCUUUGAGCAAGCUAUGUGAGUAUGAUGGCAAAAAGCUGCCCCCUGACUACAAAUCAGACUGCUAUCAUGAUGUUGAUGAAACUGAAUAUGCCUGCAAGGAAAAAUACCGUAUCAUGAAGCGAAUGAAGAAGGCUGGAGCAGAUGACCAGGACUACGAAGACAAAAAAUAAACUAACAUCAAAUUCACUCUGUAUAGGUAUCCUCAGAUUAUCAAAAAUGUCGCAUCUGAGCUCUACUCCAGAGACAACCUUUCUCUUUUUGUCCGCAUGUAAGAAUGCACCCACCAGGAGGAGAAGACGACAAAGAGAGCCAGAAAUGGGUGAAAGGAUACGAGAGAUACCUGAAGAAACGAAAAGCAGACGACCAUCCAGUUGAAAUCCAAAAAAGCCAACGCACCUCGGAAGCACUAGCACAGAAGAGUCAAAGGAACCCAGAAACACAGAAAAGUCAAAGGAACUCUGAAACACAGAAGAGUGGCGCACAAACGCGCAAGCCCCAAAAAGAGACGAGGAGCUCUCAGAAUCAGAAAAACACGAGGAGCUCAGGAGAACCGAGGAAGUUCACUCGGUCUCAGGAGACUCUGAAGACACCUCCACACACGACGCCUUCUCUUAGGAACACUCGUUUCCAACAACUGCAACGCAACCUCAGGAAUCUCAGGAAUUCGUCCAGAUUCUCUAGAAACUCUAAAAAGGAUUAACUAUUUUUAAUGAAAAAAGAAAACAAAUGAGGCCCAUAUGCACCAUCUCAGUUUGAAUGGAGAUUGGUUUUAACCCAAAAUGGAACAUAUUGAAAUGAAUAUGACCAUCAUUGUAUUGUAAAACGCUGAUAUGGUGCAUAUGGCCGUGAAUGAUAUAAAUACAAUUACAAAAUUUUUUCACGUGAUUUAUAAAAAUUAAUCCUGGCAAAAAACAUGAAAUGUAAGGUUUUAAUAAAACGUUAAGAUUGAACUCAAGUGUUAAUAGAACACAAGGUUCGAAUUUAAUACAUGUGUAAAAUUCUGUAAGCAAUAAUGUUCACUUGAUAAAUAUGUGGAUAUGAUUUGACAAUGAUUUUAAAGUAUUUUUGAGAUCUAGAAACAUGCUCCAAGAAUUAUAAUAGGCUUUGAGAAUGUUUUGUGAGUUUUGGUGCUUGAAUUUUUUUAGAUAAAAGUUUGCAAAAUUCAUGAAUUCAAAUUUCAUAGAAAUCAAUAAUAUUGUUUGAUUUAUGUUGAAUGAUCAAUUCCAGUUUAGUAUUAUUACUGUAAUAAUUAUUAAAACUAUAAUCUAAUUCUGUGUUAACAACUGUGAUAUACUUUUUGUAAAAAUUUGUUGGUCUUCUUAUCAACUGGUUAAUGGUGCAAAUGAUUUAUAUAUUUUUUAUAUAGUUGUUUACAAAUCAAAAUAAUUUUAUUCUAGUUUUAAUAUUAUAUUUGUUGUUGAAAUAUAGAUAACUUAUACAUUACUGUAAGGAUUUCUUGUACAGAAACAGAAUUGAAUGAAUCCAAAAGUAGAGGUUCCGUAUUUUUCAAAAUGAGUUUUUGUUCUGUAGGUAAUUAACUUUAAAGAAUGUAACAAUUUCGUUAAUAAUACGUUUUAUUAAUAAGCUUACAAAAGACUAUUGAGCCAUUGUCGAACAAACUACUCAAAUUAUUAUUUUUAUAACAUUAUUUUUGAAAAAUUAUUCUUUUUAAAAUCUUCUGUUUUAGUAAUCCAAUAGUUUUAUCCUAUUUUUCUUGAAAAAUAAAUAUAUUACCUAUAGCAAUUGUCUAGGCUAUUGCAUUACGGUACUGCAUUGGGGAAAUUCGGGACAUUUUUGGCAAAUUUUGUUUCAGUAUAAUCAAUCCUUAGUAUACGGUAGAUUUUUUACUAAAAUAAAUUCACUACCGUACCAUUCCUGACAUUGUUAUACUAUUUCUGAACAGAAUAAUUUAAUUACUAACAAAAAUCCAAUUGUAGGUAGUAACUUUUGAAUGUUUCUUUAUAAGCUGAAUAUUUUUGUGUCUGAUCAUAUAAUUUUACAAACAAGAAACACUUUACCGUAUCAAUAAAACUUUUAACUUGAAAA